UUCUACCGCUGUACCAUAGAGAGCAUCCUUACAAACUGCAUCUCAGUAUGGUACGGCAGCUGCUCUGUCGCAGACCGUAAAUCACUGCAGAGGGUGGUGAAAACUGCCCAACGCAUCACCGGUUCCUCACUCCCCACCAUCAAGGCUGUCCAGAGCAAGAGAUGUCUGCGGAGGGCACGCAGCUCUCACCCCAGCCACAGACUGUUUUCCCUCCUCCCCUCUGGGAGGCGCUACAGGGUGCUCCGUUCCCGGACCAGCAGGUUCAGGAACAGCUUCAUCCCUGCGGCUGUCACUCUACUGAACUCUGCCCCCCACCCCCACACACAUCUCCCUCAGUGACUGUACUUCCACCCUGGCUUGACUGCCACACACCUUCCUCCAGCCACUGAACAUUUGCACCGUUAUUGCAUAUCCAUUUCUUACUGUUCAUAUUGCAUAACUAUUUCUUACUGUACAUAUCUAUUUAUUCACUUAUUACACUUUACAUAUGCACAUACUCUGCACGUUUGCACUUCUGGUUGGAUGUUAAACUGCAUUUCGUUGCCUCAGUACUUGUACCCUGUGCAAUGACAAUAAAGUUGAAUCUAAUCUAAAUCUAAUCUAAUCAAUAAAGACAGUUGGCUCUCACAAACUGAACGAAGCGGUGUGAGAUCUGUGACCAAACAAAUAGGAACACGCGUCAUCUCAGCGUUUACACUCUGCUACUGCCUGAAGAAGCUACAGUUAUUGGAGGUAUUAAAGAAUAUAUAUUUUUUUUUAAGAUGCCGAGAGGAUCAUUUUGUAGUGACUUGAUGAUCCCUUAUAGCGGCUCCGGUAUAAGAUGAAUCUGAUUAAACUUUGGUUGUCAAAGAUAACCGUGACCUCAAAAAACGCGUUGAGGCUAUAAAUCAAUAAUUCAUGUGGUAGCGAUGAAGGUUUCCCUCAAAUAUGUAAUGGGAUGAAAUGCUAAAGGGAAAAUAUUUACUAGAAGACCUUGAUCUAGCAAUGUUAUCACGUCAAAAUGUUGUUGGUCAGAACUACAGAUGAAUGACCUUGAAUAGCUUUUGUGUUGAAUGAAACUGAUGUCGACAUGUUACUGUCCAUCUAAUUUCCCAUGACUGGUUUAAUAAUCAUUCAUGAUAGAGGAACAGUUAUCCAGGUUUUCCCGACAAAGAUUUGAUUUCAGCUGAAAUCACUGCCACAUAUUCUGCCAUUUCCAAUCAUCAUGCAGGUCAAUAUUAGGAUGAAAACUGCAUGAAAUACACGUGUGCUGGACUGGAGAUGGUCAAUACCAAAAUGGAUUAAGGAAGGCCGCUGACUGAGAAUAAAGUUGGUGCAAAUCCCAGGAUAGAUCAUUAGAGUAUCGGGACGUCGUGCUUCUAUAACUGUUCCCAGCUUUGAAGAAGGAUAUGAGAUUCAUCGAUUACGCUUCACCUCCCUUCUCUCCUCGUCGUGAGGUAAUUGAAGAUGAGCAGGAGAGCUCUUCGGCUAGCCUCAUACUUAACCCUCUGAUGCUGUAUUUUGGAGAAGGAUGAAUAUCUCCAGGCACUCUCUAUUCAUAAGAUCUUCAAUCUGGAGCACACACAGCCCUCCAGCUGGCUUAGUUUAUUGUAUCUCGUCUUUCCUUGACAAAAAAACCCAGGAGCCGUACCUCACAAAAUUGUGUCACCCGACAUUAUUAAAACUGUUGCAGAAGAAUAAUAUAUGAGUGUGUUGUUAAACUGGGAACAGAACCAGCCCCUACUUACCUGGGACCCGGCUUUUUUAAUUAGAAUUUACCCUCCACUAAACCCUGCUUACAUAAAUACUUCUCCUUUGGCCACUUUGGACUUUGAUGCAGACACGAGGCUGUUACUGUUUGGGUGCACACUGCAGUGUUUGGCCUGCAGGUCCAGCACCAAUGACCGAGGCAGUGGAAUCACGGCACUAAUUCAUGGUUUAUAAAUAGAAGGCAUCCUUUUUUUUAAAUCCUAACCUGGGGAUCCUUUGUGCUUCAUAUCAGCUGGACAGUGAUGUCAGAGCGUCAGGGGAAGCCCCGGGUCUGCGGCUAGUGGAACAAAGCCACGUCAGUGGGGUCUGUCGGCGGGAGGGGGCGGAAACCUAGCCGUCUGCCUCACAGUGCCACCAUUGUCUCCCUGGCCCUGUACCCAGAGCGGCUCCUGCCCCCCCGCUGGCAUUACCAGGAUAUCUGAGUUUAUUGCAUCUCGGAGCUCCUGUUGGUGGCAAAGACACGAGGAAACCAGUAGCUGAUCCCCAUGAGAUAAAAGGGUAUACUACAUGCUGCACAAUAGCACAGAUAUUUGGGAUUCUGGAUCAAUGUAAUACUGUGCUAAAUUUCUGGACUCCCCCUGCCCCCGUUUCAGUUUAUGAAUGGCUUUCCUGAGUAGUUUCAUUUUUUGCUGAUACAAAUAGCAAAUGUAGAUAUGUUUGAUAUUCAAAUAUCUGUUAUAUUUAUUCGCCAACCUUUAUCAAAUUUCUUUACCCCCCACCCAAGUUGGUUUAUCACCCAAAAGAAACUACAGACAAUAAAUUACACCGACAUUGGUCAUUGGUAAUUUGUAAUAUUUUGCAAAUAUUUGCACCGAUACAUGAUCGACUAUGGUGGUGAAUUCUAUUCCAAGUAAACAUUUGCGCGGUAAUACUGUCAUAGUGAGGAUGUUAGCAUAUUGACGUUAGCAUGUAGCACUGCCUCAGAAUUAGCAUCUGAAACUCCAUUAAACAGUUGUGGCAUUCUCAAAAAUGAUUGUCAGGAGCAUUUCUUAAACAUUAGCAUCCAGAUGCAUCGAUACAUGAUUUGACGAUCCUAAAUCUAGAUCCUCCUGGGCCAAAAAGCGUAAAACAGCUUUCUAGUAUUGAACUGUACAGUGAUGCUUCAACAUAAAAGUAACAAUAACCUUUUUGUGGGUUGACAUGAAUGCUUGCACAGCCUUGAGGCCACAACAUUGAUAAGGGGGAAAAAAUAUUCAGAUGUGCCACGUUUAAAGUGGAUUUCCGCCGGCGGACAUGGACUUCUUUUCAAGUGAUUUCACACAACAAGGCGUGCAGGAAACUAAAAAAGGUGGGAACUGUUUUAUCAAAUUGGUUUCUCAAAACCUAAUAUAUUGAGGAACGGAGUGAUGAUGACUAUAUCAACAAUCAAAUAAAAGCACAUUAUAUCGCUUGAGAUCACUCAGCAGCUGGAAUACGGAGGAGAUGAAAGUGUAUCUGAUGACCUACUAAUGCUGUAUGUUGGUGACAACAGCGUAGCUUUUGCAUGCCCAGAUUCCGGCACCACAUUUCAGCACAGCCAUUGUCUGCUGUGGAGACCUCCAGGUUUCUGUGAUGCACAAUCUACCAGGACCUAAAGUGGGCCUCCAAUAUAGACAGCAAUAUUGAAGUUCAACCUUCUUCAGGAACUGCUGGUCCUGUCUACACACGCCAUCAUCCAGUCUGUUCUCUGUUCUUCCAUCACUGUGUAGGUUUGGAUCGGCCACUAAACAGACUACAACGAAUUAUAAAGUCUGCAGAGAGAGCAAUUGUCUCCAGCCUGCCCCGCCAUCCUGGACUUGUAAAGGCUCAGACUGCUCCCCUCUGGUAGGCGAUACAGAGUUCUGUGCACCAAAACCCGCAGACCCAGGAACAGCUUCUUCCCUUGGCCGUCUCUCUGAAACAGCUAAUCUGUCAGGCAGCACCUCAGUUGCACCAUUGCCACUAUCUGCACUUCAAUCAACCAACCACAAACCAUAUAUUUAGAGAAUUAAAAGGACUUGAUCUUGCUCUCUGCAUACCAUUGCGUCCCGGCUGCGGUCCUGGCCUAGUGGUAAGUUGUUGGCUCGUGCUCUGCCAGAGGUCUGGUGCAGCGAUUAUCCCGACAGGGAGAACGGGGAGCUGGAAGUCAUUUCCCUCUAUCGUCUCCAGACGCCAUUCCAUGCUACCGUACCUUGUCUGCGCUGCGAAGGAAGAAUAAAAGUGCAGGACAGCAGUUGGGGGAUUUGCCGCCGUUACGCAGUAGACCUGUUCUCAGCGUUCUGACCGUAAAGCAAUAGUAAAUCCAGAGAAGUCGGUGCUCUUCCUACCUGCCGUUCCAGAGCUGGCAACACGCGGCACUGCACAGAUGGCAAAGUGGCUCCAAAGAUUCAAUUAGAAAUGUAAUUUCAGCGAUGUAAUCAUCCAGCUGUGCAGCCGACGUUUGUGAAUAAUAAUGCUGGGCUUCAUGUUUAAAUGACACAAGUUUUUUGAAUGUUGGUCUAUAAUACAUUUUGUUGAAACCAAAGAUGUAUAGACUUGAUGCAGCGACAGAACCUCCUGGGGAGUUCAGCUUCAUUUCAGCUCAGCGGGAGCCAUUUACUGUCGCGCCAUUUUCAGAAAAUGUAACUUAAAAAAACAUAGGGGUAAAUGUAUUCCUAUAAUUUGUAUUAUGUUGCAGGAAAAGAAUAUUGGAAUAGCAGAAAACAUAUAUUUUGUUCCAAGAUUUAAUGAAUAAGCAUGAUGAAUAAAUGUGAUCGCAGUAUGGAUUAGAAUAAUCCUGAUCAUAAUUUGGGGCCAAAUUGUGCAGCUCUGUUGAUGCCGUACCGAACAGAAGUCCAUCAGAGUUUAAUGCUCCCGUCCCUCACAGCUUAAAUGAACCAACAGGAAGGGGCUGCAGUCGGCUGGAGAUCUCCACCCUGGUGUAGGUAGAGCGCCGUCAAACAACCUCUAAUGCCGGAUCGCAGCAAUAGUCUGACCCUUCUCAUUGUAAAUCACAGACCCGUGGCUAAUGGGAUUCCAUCUAUCAGAGGAUUAUGAUGAUCCAGCUCCCUUUGUGCACUGGCUCUGCCAUUUUACAUACAUUCUUUAUCAAUUUGACACACACUUUGUCAGCAGCGGUUGAUAAUGUGCCUCCCCAGCUCUUCAAAAAUGAAAAGAAGGAGAAAAAAAUCUUAACUACAGUAUACGAAACGCAAAAUGAUUCAUGUUUCCUCUCUUUGAAGAUUGUCUCAUCACUGAGAAUAUUACGUUUGGGACGCUUCAGAGGUUUGCCGUCCAUUACACUUUCACAACUUUGACAGGGGGGGGGAUUAGUCCAAAUGACAGGCAGUGUGUGAGGGGGG
ensembl:lncRNA